UACGUAGGGUGCAAGCGUUGUUCGGAUUUACUGGGCGUAAAGGGCGCGUAGGCGGCCAGCACAAGUCAGUUGUGAAAUCUCCGAGCUUAACUCGGAAAGGUCAACUGAUACUGUGCGGCUAGAGUGCAGAAGGGGCAACUGGAAUUCUUGGUGUAGCGGUGAAAUGCGUAGAUAUCAAGAGGAACACCUGCGGCGAAGGCGGGUUGCUGGGCUGACACUGACGCUGAAGCGCGAAAGCCAGGGGAGCGAACAGG
rnacentral:rRNA from 1 species